rnacentral:rRNA from 1 species
UACGUAGGGGGCGAGCGUUGUCCGGAAUCAUUGGGCGUAAAGCGCGUGUAGGCGGUCCGGUAAGUCCGCUGUGAAAGUCGGGGGCUCAACCCUCGGAUGCCGGUGGAUACUGUCGGGCUUGAGUACGGAAGAGGCGAGUGGAAUUCCUGGUGUAGCGGUGAAAUGCGUAGAUAUCUGGAGGAACACCGGUGGCGAAGGCGACAUCCUGGACCGGCAUUGACGCUGAGGCGCGAAAGCCAGGGGAGCAAACGGG